GACGAACGCUGGCGGCGUGCUUAACAUAUGCAAGUCGAACGGAAAGGCCCUGCUUGCAGGGUACUCGAGUGGCGAACGGGUGAGUAACACGUGGGUGAUCUGCCCUGCACUUCGGGAUAAGCCUGGGAAACUGGGUCUAAUACCGGAUAGGAGCCAUUUUUAGUGUGAUGGUUGGAAAGUUUUUUCGGUGUAGGAUGAGCUCGCGGCCUAUCAGCUUGUUGGUGGGGUAAUGGCCUACCAAGGCGGCGACGGGUAGCCGGCCUGAGAGGGUGGACGGCCACAUUGGGACUGAGAUACGGCCCAGACUCCUACGGGAGGCAGCAGUGGGGAAUAUUGCACAAUGGGCGCAAGCCUGAUGCAGCGACGCCGCGUGGGGGAUGACGGCCUUCGGGUUGUAAACUCCUUUCGCUAGGGACGAAGCUUUUGUGACGGUACCUAGAUAAGAAGCACCGGCUAACUACGUG
rnacentral:rRNA from 1 species